AUCCCAUGGUGUGGACACCUCCUAAGCAAAUCCUUGAACCUUUCUCAGGCUUCAUAUAAGGUCUCCAUAUCGAAUUGCACGAAGGUUUGGAUGUCAAUCCUCAACUU